UACGUAGGGUGCGAGCGUUGUCCGGAAUUAUUGGGCGUAAAGAGCUCGUAGGCGGCUUGGCAAGUCGGGUGUGAAAACUUCAGGCUCAACCUGGAGAUGCCACUCGAUACUGCUAUGGCUAGAGUCCGGUAGGGGACCACGGAAUUCCUGGUGUAGCGGUGAAAUGCGCAGAUAUCAGGAGGAACACCGGUGGCGAAGGCGGUGGUCUGGGCCGGCACUGACGCUGAGGAGCGAAAGCGUGGGGAGCGAACAGG
rnacentral:rRNA from 1 species